AAUCUCUCCUGACUCUCACCUUCUCCUGGUAGAUUUCCAAAUAGGACAUGGAGACAGCAAGGGCCCAGGGUCGCCCUUCAGCACCCUCCUCCCAGGAAGAAGACAAGAAGAAACAGUAAAAUUACUGGCUCUCCGACAGCCUUAUUGUCUCUUCUUGCCAUCUGCACAAAGCCCUGGAUCCAUUCUACUCUUCCCUAACCUGCGCCUGUUGGACCAUAGGCAAGCACACUGGCAUUCUGUCCAUUCAUCAAGUGGCGCAGGAUGGGCUGGACAAAGCCAACAUAGAUGUCCUGCUGAGUGCUUGUUUCCCCAUAAAAGGCAUCAAACCUGUAAAGCAGAAAUAUGGGAGUAGGAUAAGCUAGUUAAAACUAUAAAAGGAAGAGGGUAUUGGAUUUAGAGCACAGAGAUGGGAUAUGAUAGCAGGGACAUGUACAUGAAGAACAGCAAUAAACAUGAUCAGCAAAGCA